rnacentral:rRNA from 1 species
UACGUAGGGGGCAAGCGUUGUCCGGAAUCAUUGGGCGUAAAGCGCGUGUAGGCGGUCCGGUAAGUCCGCUGUGAAAGUCGGGGGCUCAACCCUCGGAUGCCGGCGGAUACUGUCGGGCUCGAGUACGGAAGAGGCGAGUGGAAUUCCUGGUGUAGCGGUGAAAUGCGCAGAUAUCAGGAGGAACACCUAUUGCGAAGGCAGCUCGCUGGGACGUUACUGACGCUGAGACGCGAAAGCGUGGGGAGCAAACAGG